UCUGUGUCUGCAUUUUGUACACCUACACAACCCUGCAUCUUUCAGGCUCGGCUCUGCUCUGCUCUGCUCUUUAGUCUUGUCACAAUCUCAACAGCUUGCAAUUCUUGUCUUCAUUCUCAACCAUUAGCCCUAAUUUUUUAAUAUAAAUAAGAACAAGAUGUGGAUCUCAAAUCACUUUAACUCACACAUCUUCAGACGAACGGAAACAGAGUUGUGCGGGGUCGCACGGACGAGCUCGGACUCGUGGCAGUAAUGGUUGUUUCCGGAGCAACCGGCAAGAGGAGUGCGGCGUCCGGUAUGUGAUAAUCGUGUAUGGUGGGUGGAUCUCUUCCAUACAAAACUGUAAAUGGCAUCAUCCAGUGGAAAGAGGUGUUAUGCCAAAUGGUGUGAAUGGUUGGUCACUGACAAAACAGAGAAGCUUGAUUUUGCAAUCAACGCCCUUGUGUCAUUAAACAUGGUGGUUACAAUGUUGGUGGCAUUUGUGCUGAAAGGCACGGUACCAAGAAAUUCUCUAGAACGGAUGGACUAUGUGCGGAUGUUGUCUCAAGAGAUUGCUACUGAUUACUCGCCCGCAUCAGCAUAUUUUUGUUUGAGUUCCUCUAUUCAGCUUGUAUGUUAUAUCUCAGAAAUAUAAGGUCUGAGUUGCCUCCUCAAGAAUGAAUAUAGAGAAGAGAGUUGCAUAAUAUUUCAUUGAUACUUAGAAUUGGAAAAUACAACAGAUAUAUAGGAAAAAUAUCUAGAGGAUCUUAACAGAAUCCAGCUAAGGAUAUGACAGCAAGGAAAAUAUAACAAACCAGCAAGGAAAAUAUAACAAACUAGUGGUGACUCACGGGUUCUAGAAACAACAUAAAAUGGUAAUCUAUUUGUAAACUAUGUGAUUUGUGAACAUAAUUGGCAUCCUUCUAUUACGCGGAGACCUUUCCUUAACAGGCUUAACAUCAUUAGCAGUAAUAGGCCCAUCUUCUGAACUUGGACUUAUAACAAUACCAAUCCUAUCAAAAUUAACUUUGUCCUUAAGGUUAUAAUUCUAUUUAAGAGCUUCUUUUGCAAUACCAGCCUUUGACCCCGACCUACCAAUCUGUGAUAAUUGUUUUGCGGGUUAAUAGAAACAUGCUGUAUAGAGGGAAGAAAAGGCCUUAUAAAUCCAUGUAUUUUCUUUUUCAUUUCUCUAAUAUAGAGAAAUGAAUAGUGAUUUGAUGCACAUAUUUGCAAAACACACAUAACAAACAAACUAAUUAGUAAUAAAAAAUAAACUCAAUUGAAAUUGAAAUUGUUAAUCAUAUUAUUAAUUGAAAUUCGCAAUUAGUAAAGACACAUUAUAAAUACCUACCUCAUUGAAAUUGUUCUUUUUUAAUAUUGAAAUUGUUCUUUUUUAAUAGCGAAGUACUCAGCAUAAGAGCAUACCCAGAAUUGGAGGGGGGUAAAUUAUGAAAAGGAGUAGAUUAAAUCAUGAGAUAAUUCGGUUGGGUGUCUGUCCUCUUUUUUGUAAAUACCUUGCCCUCUUUUUUGUCCUUCUUUUGGGUGUCUGUUGACAUAUAUUAAAUUAAUAAAAAACAAUUUAAAAAAAAGCAAUUCUAAAGGUUUCAUCUAAGUAAUCUAACCUCCACAUAAUUUGGUUUAACGGACCAAUGCCUAAGUUUUGGCAACCUAGCCCUAUGUUUUCUUAUAUGAACAUUAUCUAUGUUUUCUAAUUCAAGUUAAUUUUGAUGGCUACUUCCAUGACAAUACAUCUUCCUUGUUAUUUUCUUUCAUGAAAGUUUUCACUCUCUUCCUUAACUUCCUUUUGGGACUAUGACUCUUCCUUUUAGGACUAGGACACUUGUGAAUCUUCCCUCCUUUCUACUUUUAGGACAAAGAUAGUUGUGAAUCUUCCUUCCUCUCUCGAUUAGAA